GUAUAAUUUACAAAAUGUUGGCCCAGCAUAAUUUUGCAGGCACGCUUUGUAUUCUUUCGAGUUGAUUAGUUUUUAGUUUAGUAAGACUGAAGUGUCAAUCAGUACAUAAAUAAUGCGUAUUCCAUCAAGGGCCUUAUGUAUAGUUGGUAGACGGUGAUCAUGUCCUCUACUGGAGCUGUAUAUCCUUUCAUAGCAUACACAAAGAAAUAUUCUGCUGCUGGCUUGUGAUAUGUUAUGUUUUUUUUUUCUUAUUUUUCGGUCUCCUGCCCUAGACUUUCUUGUAUUUCAAGACCUAACAAUUUUAUUUUAUCAACAGCUUUAAUAUUAUUCCCACCUAUAGUUAAUUCAGGGUAAUUAAGGGGUUUUCAUGAAGUUUCAUGGCAUUUGGCUGGCUUCGGGAGCAUAUCGUUUGCUUUACACCAUUUGUUUAAUGCAUACAGGUGGUCUUGGAGUUGGGGUGGGUCAAUAUUUCCUUGUAUUUAUUACAUUCCACAUGGUUAAUUCAUCAACAAACUUCCAACAUUUGAUACAGGCCUAAAUCAAGAUCUCGGUUAGAUGUACCGGUAAAGAAGCACUAUAUGAUAAAUGAAUUACGCUACCAGAGAUUGUCAUUGAAUUACCUACACUCAUUUGGUUAAACGUACGAUUCCGGUUAUCAACGAUGGGCAUAAAUAAUACAGUGGCGGAUUUAAGAGGGUGCAUCAAUCAAGAACAACGAAAAGAUCAUACCUCAACGAAGAUUAAACGGUUAGAACAUCGGCACAACAAACACUCGUACAGAGAUGACAAAUAUCAGAAGGAAGCCUCUUGCAUCUCUCUGUAUAUUAUUACUUCUGAUUACAAUUUGUGAAGUACAUAUCUCAUCCGCUCAACGUAAAGGAGCCGAUGAAAGAGAAGAUACGGAUUUUAAAGUUGUCGCGAAUGAUGAUGAUGUUAUGCUACACCGUGUGCGACGAAGUUUGGCCACUCUUCUUAAGCCACCAAUGGGGAAGUCGGACAGAUUUGUCGCGAAUGAUGAUGAUGUUAUGCUACACCGUGUGAGACGAAGUUUGGCCACUCUUCUUAGGCCACCAAUGGGGAAGUCGGACAGAUUUGUCGCGAAUGAUGAUGAUGUUAUGCUACACCGUGUGCGACGAAGUUUGGCCACUCUUCUUAGGCCACCAAUGGGGAAGUCGGACAGAUUUGUCGCGAAUGAUGAUGACGUUAUGCUACACCGUGUGCGACGAAGUUUGGCCACUCUUCUUAAGCCACCAAUGGGGAAGUCGGACAGAUUAAACUAAAUGUCGGAACGUUAAUAAAUAAUUAUAAAUCACUUUAAGUGAUCACUUUAAGUUCGUAUUUAAGUUUAUCAACAUAGUGAACAUGUGUUUUGAUUGGUUGACAGAUAAAUCAAUUGAUUG